rnacentral:lncRNA from 1 species
CACCCCCAAGAACACCUCGUCCACCACCGCCCAGAACAAGUCGUCCACCACCGCCCAGAACACCACUUCCCCCAGCACCACCACUGCCACCACCACCUAUGUCACCACCAUCACCAACACCAGCACCUUCACUUUCACCAACACCACCACCACUAUCACCACCUCUAUCAUCACCGCCAGCACCACCACCAGAAUCACCAGCAUCAGAACCAGGCCCAGCUCCUACACCAUCAUCAUUACUAUAAGUUCAUAACAAUUUAACAUAAUAAAAACAUGACCUUAAGUUCCACUUAUUUCCUUAACUCACGUGUUUGUUUUCAUAUAGAGUUUUUUUAUUGCAAGACAAGAGAAUCAAGAGUUCUAAUGAAUGAAAUGAUAGAAAAUCU